rnacentral:rRNA from 1 species
AUUGAACGCUGGCGGCAGGCCUAACACAUGCAAGUCGAGCGGCAGCGGGAAAGUAGCUUGCUACUUUUGCCGGCGAGCGGCGGACGGGUGAGUAAUGCCUGGGGAUCUGCCCAGUCGAGGGGGAUAACUACUGGAAACGGUAGCUAAUACCGCAUACGCCCUACGGGGGAAAGCAGGGGACCUUCGGGCCUUGCGCGAUUGGAUGAACCCAGGUGGGAUUAGCUAGUUGGUGAGGUAAUGGCUCACCAAGGCGACGUUCCCUAGCUGGUCUGGGAGGAUGAUCAGCCACACUGGAACUGAGACACGGUCCAGACUCCUACGGGAGGCAGCAGUGGGGAAUAUUGCACAAUGGGGGAAACCCUGAUGCAGCCAUGCCGCGUGUGUGAAGAAGGCCUUCGGGUUGUAAAGCACUUUCAGCGAGGAGGAAAGGUUGGUAGCUAAUAACUGCCAGCUGUGACGUUACUCGCAGAAGAAGCACCGGCUAACUCCGUGCCAGCCGCCGCGGUAA